AAAAAGAGAUCAUCGUUUCUCAUGAGAUAAAUUGUUGAUCAACCACUCCAAAGGUGAGCCCAGAUUAACCAGGUUGCAUCUGCUGUGCCUUUUGCCUGUCCAUGGAGAGUAGAGAGCAACUCCUGCUUCCUCUCCUCAUCAGCUUCGUCUUCCUGCUGCUGUUCACCACCAACACUAGCAGCUCCAGCCUGAACAGUGACCUCCACGCGCUUCUGUCGCUCAAAUCCUUCAUAAGCAAGGACCCCAUGGGUGCACUGUCUUCCUGGAACGCUCUCGACAACAACACCCUCAACGGCACCAAUGGUUUCUGCAGAUGGACCGGGGUGACAUGCAGCAGCAGCAGCAGUCGCCUAAGGCCACAACGCGUGACUGUGCUGCGCCUACCAGGGUUUGGCCUCAUCGGCACCUUGUCGCCGCACAUAGGUAACCUCACCCAUCUUAGCGUGCUUGAUCUCUCGUACAACAAGCUUGAAGGUGUGAUCCCUCCUAGCCUUGGCACCUGCUCUCUGCUUCAAGAGCUCAACUUGAGCAACAAUUCCAUGUCUGGCACCAUUCCUACCACCAUGGGUCACUUGUCAAAGCUUGUUGUUUUCAACAUAGGCAGCAACAAUAUAUCGGGUCUCAUCCCUUCUUCGUUUGCAAACCUCACUGCACUCACAGUGUUUAGUAUUUUUCAGAACUCUUUUCAUGGGAACAUCCCACCAUGGUUGGGGAAUUUGACUAGGCUAAUAAAAUUGGACAUUCAAAAGAACAUGAUGAGUGGACAUGUCCCGCCAACUUUGUCAAAACUAUCUAACCUUCAAGCUUUCGGGAUAGCGGCAAACAUGCUAGAAGGCACCAUUCCUUCAUCCUUGUUUAACAUAUCUUCCCUUGAGAUAGUUAAUGUCGGUGAUAACACAUUGUCAGGGUCUCUGCCUCCAGACAUGGGCUUUAUGCUUCCCAAUCUAAGAAUAUUUUAUGCAUUCGACAAUGAAUUUGAAGGCCCAAUUCCAUUUUCCUUGUCUAAUAUCUCUCUUCUUCAAAAACUCUCCCUUAGUGAAAAUAGAUUUCGAGGCAUAAUUCCGCCAAACAUUGGUAUAAAUGGUAAUUUGGAACUGUUUGAUGUAAGCAACAAUGAGCUCCAAGCUACGGAGCCAACAGAUUGGGAUUUCCUAACUCCCUUGGCUAAUUGCAGCAAGUUAAGAGCCAUCGUCAUUGAAAGAAACAACCUUUCUGGCACUCUACCAAAUACAAUCGCUAAUCUCUCGCUAGAACUAGAGAUCAUGGCAUUGGGGAGAAACCAAAUUACUGGCCGCAUACCAACAGAAAUUGGACGAUACUACAGACUCACUAUCCUUGCGCUUGCAUAUAACCUCUUCACAGGAACCAUACCUUCAGAUAUAGGAAAGCUAUCCAACCUCAAUAAACUACUCCUAUGGCAAAAUUCCUUCCACGGGGAGAUCCCACUAUCGCUAGGUAACAUCACACGACUAUAUUUGUUGAGCCUAUCUUCCAACUAUCUACAGGGUAGAAUUCCAGCAACUCUUGGCAACCUUAGCAUGUUAGCCGCCAUUGAUAUCUCAAAUAAUCUCCUAACUGGACAAAUCCCACAAGAGGUUGUCAGCAUUUCUUCUCUAACCCAAAUUUGUAACCUUUCCAAUAAUGCAUUAAAUGGUCCCAUUCCUAUGCAAAUUGGGCGCUUGGUCAACCUUAUCAGUAUCGAUAUCUCAUCAAAUAAAUUAUCAGGUGAAAUUCCAAGAACCCUUGGAAGAUGCCUUCAAUUGCAGUUCCUUCACUUUCAAGAUAACCUCAUCCAAGGAAACAUCCCAGAAGACCUAAGUGAGCUAAAAGGCCUAGAAGAGAUGGACCUCUCCAACAACAAAUUAUCAGGAGUCAUCCCUGAAUUCCUUGGGAACUUCAAGCUUCUAAGGAGCCUGAACCUUUCCUUCAACCAACUAUCCGGUCCAGUGCCAAACAAGGGUAUUUUCUCCAAUGCAAGUGUUGUAUUACUUGUAAGUAAUGGAGCAUUAUGUGGUGGCCCUCCAUUCUUUUAUUUUCCACCAUGUCCGUAUCCAAAUCCUGGUAGCCAUGCACGAAACCUACGGCUGCACAGCUUGAUCUUUAUUGUGGUGGGAGCAUUUGCCUUUGUUAUCAUUUGUAUUGUUAUAUGCUACUAUGUCAAGAAGCAAAGAUCAAAGCCAGAUGGUUCUAACCGAGGCCAAGGAUGCCCCAGUGUUAUAGUGACAUAUCAAAGGAUAUCAUACGGGGAGUUGUCUAUGGUGACAAAUUCAUUCUCUACAGAAAAUUUGGUUGGCCAUGGAAGCUUUAGCGGUGUAUAUAAAGGGAUUUUGCCUUGUGAUGGACAUUCAAUCGAUGUGCCAGUCAAGGUACUCGAUCUUCGACAACAAGGAGCCAGCCAGAGCUUCAUUGCUGAGUGCAAUGCCCUUAAAAGAAUUAAACACCGGAAAUUAGUGAAAGUAAUAACCGUGUGUGAUAGUUUAGACCACAAUGGCGAUGAAUUUAAGGCACUCGUGUUGGAGUUUGUCUCCAAUGGAAGCCUAGAUAUAUGGUUACAUCCAAGCAGUGUCAGUAUGGACAAGAUAAGCUUGGAACAAAGGCUAAGCAUUGCUCUUGAUGUUGCAGAGGCACUAGAAUAUCUUCACCAUCGCAUUAAUCCUCCUAUUGCACAUUGUGAUAUUAAACCAGGUAACAUCCUUCUUGAUGAAGAUAUGACCGCACAUCUUGGUGACUUUGGUUUAGCCAACGUAAUGAAUGUUGGAGCCAUUGGGCAAUCAUUAGGAGAAAGUAGCUCAGUUGUUCUUAAAGGAACGAUUGGUUAUCUUGCACCAGAGUGUGGCAUGGGAACAACGAUUUCUACAGAGGCUGAUAUAUUCAGCUAUGGUGUGCUAUUGUUGGAGAUUCUUACUGGACGAAGGCCAACAGACAACUCAUUUCAUGAUGCUACAAGUCUUCCCAAGUGUGUGGAGAUGGCAUAUCCUGAGAAGCUAUUGGAAAUAAUGGAUCCUACGAUGUCGCACAAUGGAGAAGAAAAAGACAUCAUAGAUUUGUUCAUUGCUCCUAUUUCAAGGCUUGGUUUGGCUUGUUGUAGAGACUCUCCAAGGCAGCGGAUGAAGAUGGGUGAGGUGGUGAAAGAAUUGAAUGCCAUAAAGACAAGAUGGGAGCAUAAAUUCAAUCAUCUAUUGAUCCAUAAGGAUGAUGAUACACAUGGUGCACACCCACUCGGUUGAUGCAAAUGCAACUGCUUUGUCUCGGCGGACACCACACUCACACUCUCCACCCACGGGUAAUGUGCCCAUUGCCAUCCCUAACCGGUGCCGCGUCGCCGGUGACCGAAGGGUGUACCCUGUUGCUCAUGGCCUUUUGAGAGGGAAUAGAGAAGGGAGAUGGAGGAGGCACAGCACAGUAGGGAUCGGAGCACAUGUUUUGACGUGCAGUGAGAGCUGUGCCUGGCGUUGGAUUCAGAUGCGUGCUCGACGGUGUACUCGGUGUGGAAGAGGCCCGGCAUGGGCUUCCACGGCACCGACAGUUUCUGUGUCUACGACAGCGCCGGCAGGCUGGCAUUCCGCAUCCGACAACUACUCAGCGCCGGCGAGCUGCUGCUCAUGGAUGGCCAGGGCACGCAGCUCCUGUCCCUCAGGCCGCAGGUGAUCUAUCACUAGUACUUGUCUUCUUAGCAUCGUCAGUAGCAUGCAUGCAUUUCAUGAGUCAUGACCUGCAAAGAACCAGCGCUCUUAUUGCCUUGAUUAAGGACCAAAACAAUUGCAACAUUAUUUUUAUCUAUAUAAACCACAAUCAGUAACGCACAAGCAGUGAUUGUUGCGAGGUUAUCGUUUGUAAUGUUCCCUCUUUUUCCUUAUUAGUCAAUUUCUUCAAUCAUGGGAUGAAGGCGACAGUUGGUGUGGGCGAGGACCAGGCCCCAACAAGGUGUCGAAUGAUAUCAGCUCCUAGUUGGAGAAGGUGGCAAUGGCGACUGAACCAUCACCGGUUGGUUUGGGCCGCAGACUUUGCCAAGUUUUUUCUAAAUAAUUCGGAAUUUUUAAUCCGAUAAUGGGGGUGUUGGGUGCAAUUGGGUAAAAAACUUAUAAUCAAGAAUUGUCAGAGGAAAAAAAAAGCAAGAUUCUAGUGUAGGUAUUGGCUUGUAUGGAUCUCUCGCGUCUUUUAAGUGCCGGUCCUUCCCUUGUCCUCCUACCUCAUACCCUCACCAGUGAGCUCCUCCGAGGCUGACAGACCUGCCCCUUCGAUUUGAUCAACAGGUGCGUACAUGCUUGUUCUUGACUGCAGGCCUGCAGCUCAUGAAGCUUAAGCAUCAUAAUUGCAUACCCCAUCUCAAAUGAUUAGCCGUCUUAGUGACCUAACAGCCAUGGGUUGUUUCUACAAGCUCUAGCGUCGCCGUUGUCAGUCUCUAGUGUAGAGUUGUACUACUGCAUAUGUAGAUCUUGGAUUCAUCACGGUUCAUUCCUCCUCCUUUCUCCAUUAGUAAGCAGGGAUAUUCUAUAUCGUUGCCUGCCCCCACCGUACCCAUGAGUCGGCACCCCAAAGGUCGAAGAACUAAGACCCCUGUGCUCAAACAGCUUAACAUAAAUCCCAUCACCCGCUCAAUACCCCACCUGCAACUUCAAUUUUUUUUUAUCAUAGGAACAAACCCGGAAAACUUUUAUCGUUUCAUUAGAUUGGAAAAAGUCCAGAUUACAUCUCUGAACUAUAGCUAAAGUCUAGAUAACCUCCUAAACUAUCGUUCGGUUCAUCUUACCUUCCGAAUUAUACCCUUCAAUUCAAAUUGCCCCUAAUACAAUUUGUCUUUUCCAUUUCUCCAUGCAUAGGUAGAGUUUCAAAUUAAGAUUUUAUAAGAUGAUAAUACACAUCAUAAAACAUGUUAGAAAAAAAAUACAUCAUAAUUUUUUAGCAUUAUUUUGAUAGGUUAGAAUAUUUAAUAAUACAUAAUUUUGGAGUUCAAAAUUAUAUUAAGAAUAACGAUGAAAAAAUUAUUGAAUUUUUUUAAUAUGUAUUGUGAUGUCCACUACUACUCUACAAAAUUUAAAAUUAAAAUAUAUGGAUAAACAGAAAAGACAAAUUUUAUUACAUGAUAAAAUGAACUAAACAUAGUUUAGGGGGAAAGUUUUAGACUUUGGCUAUACUUGGAGAGUGUAAAUUGAACUUUUUUCUAUCACAUAUUUGAUAAAACUUUAACUCAGUCGGUGAAUUGAAGUCAACAUUUGACUGUAGUGACAGUCAUGCUCCGAGCUGCUUGCCUGUGCUGCCUGCUGGUCAGCCGGUGCUUCGCAGGCCCUUAGGAUGUGAUUGGUUGGUUGCAUGAGCCCAAACCAGACUCUCCGCAUGCCACCACGCCUUGAUUGGAUGGUUGCGCGGGGUCUCGAGCCUGGCUGGUCGGAUGCAAAAUGAGGCCGCGAGUCAGGCUCGCGGGAAACGCAGGAAUCGAGCGUUUCUGGUGAGCCAGGCUGGCGCGAGCGCCCAUGCUGCAUGAGAGCAGAGAGCAGCGGUGCAAGGUCUCCUCGUAUACUCAGGCAACCAAUCAAUUUCUCUGCUCGGCCAUGCUGCUCGCGCGCAGGCAAUCAAAUGCUGGGCCUUUGCAUGGCAGCAGCCUGGCCAGCUAGGGCCUGUCUCACCGAGUGCAUGCCGGCUACCGCAUACGCGAACCAAUCAGACCCUUAGUGAGCCGGGGCCGGGUCAGGUUCUCGGUUGGCCCACGGAAUUCUCCCAUCUGGUCAACUCCACACCUUCCACCCCUGUUUCUAUUCCUAUUCGUAUUCCCUCCCAGCGUCCAAAGCGCGCGCGACGUGCUCGACGGAAUGCGCCGGCGAGAUGGAUGGGCUACGGCAGCGCACCGCACGGUCUUGCGCGGCGGCAGCGCGCGCGUAGAUAGGCGCACCGUCCACGACAGCGGAGAUGGCUUACCUUCGUAGUUUUAUUAUCCGCAUUCUCAUCUGCUCUUCUUCGAUGCUGCAGGUUUGGUCGCACGGGUAGUUCGCUUCGGCGGCGGGGCGUCGUCUCGCUCUGCGCAAAGCCUCCAGGAGCACAAAUGGCGGAAGCAGUACUCCUUGCUGUUACAAAGAUUGGUUCUGCUUUGGCAGAAGAUGCCCAUACAGCCAUCAUAAAUAAGUUGUCUGAAAAAGUUAAUAAUCUGAAGGAACUGCCCGGGAAGAUCAAGCAGAUAGAGAUGCAACUUAAGAUCAUGAGCAAUCUGAUAUGGCAGAUUGGCACGGUCUACCUCACAGACAAAGUUGUCAAGAGUUGGAUUGGGGAGGUCCGUAAUGUGGCUUAUCAUGUUGAGGAUGUGAUGGACAGAUACUCAUAUUAUGCUCUUCAAAUGGAAGAAGAAGGGUUCCUGAAGAAGUUCUUCAUCAAGGGAACCCAUUAUGUCAGUGUUUUCAGUUCAAUUGCAGAUGAGGUUUGUGAGCUUGAGAAUGAGAUUCAGCAAGUUAUAAAGAUGAAAGAUCAAUGGUUGCAACACGCUCAAAUUGUUCCUAACCAAUUGGUGGAGAUGGAAAGGCAGCCGUCCCAAGGUUGGUUUCCAGAAUUUGUCAAAGAUGAAGACCUAGUGGGAAUCGAGGACAACAAGAGAUGGCUGAAGGGAUGGCUGUAUUCUGAAGAACCAAACAGCACCGUGAUAACAAUUUCUGGUAUGGGUGGGUUGGGAAAAUCUACUCUGGUCACAAAUGUUUAUGAACGUGAAAAGGUCAACUUCCCUGCACAUGCGUGGAUUGUUGUGUCACAGAUCUACUCCAUUGAUGCACUGUUGAGAAAUCUACUUAGGAAGAUUGGUACUGUGGGACUACCAACACCAGCAGGUAUUGACAAAAUGGAUGGGCAUGACUUGAAAGAAGAAAUAAAGAAACGACUCCAAAAUAGAAAAUGUUUGAUUGUAUUGGAUGAUGUCUGGGAGCAACAAGUAUACUUCCAAAUACAAGAUGCUUUUCAGAAUCUUCAAGCAAGUAGAAUUGUUAUUACAACACGGAAGGACCAUGUUGGGGCUCUUGCUUCUUCCACCCAUCCCCUGGAACUUCAACCAUUAGCCAGACAUGAUGCACUUGAACUCUUCUGCAGAAGGGCUUUUUACAAUAGGUGUCAUGGCCUGCCUCUAGCAAUUGUUACUAUAGGCAGCUUAUUGUCAUCAAGACCACAAAUAGAAACAUGGAAACAUACAUACAAUCAGCUUCAGAGUGAGUUGUCAAAAAGUGAUCAUGUCCGAGCAAUUUUAAAUUUAAGCUACCAUGACCUGUCAGGAGACCUUAGGAACUGCUUCUUAUACUGCAGCUUGUUUCCUGAAGAUUGCGCCAUGUCAAGGGAAAGCCUUGUGCGGAUGUGGGUUGCAGAAGGCUUUGUGAUGGGCAGAGGAAAGAACACGCCAGAGGAUGUGGCUGAGGGAAAUCUCAUAGAAUUGAUCCACCGUAACAUGCUUGAAGCUUUUGAGUAUGAUGAGCUCGGCAGGGUCAACACCUGUAAGAUGCAUGAUAUUAUGCGAGAAUUGGCACUUUCUGUUGCCAAAGAAGAAAAGUUUGGUUCUGCAAAUCAAUAUGGUGAAAUGAUACAGAUGGAUAAAGAUGUUCGUCGCUUGUUGUUAUGUGGAUGGAACGCCAACACUCCACUCAAAGUAAAAUUUCCACAUCUUCGAACACUUGUGGCUCAUGGAAUGAUUUCAUCCCCUACCAUGUUAUCCUCAAUUUUGACUGAAUCGAGCUACUUGACUGUUCUAGAGCUGCAAGAUUCUGAUAUCAAUGAGGUGCCAGCAUUUAUAAGGAAUCUCUUUAAUCUACGGUAUAUUGGGUUAAGGCGCACAAAUGUCAAGUCACUCCCAGAAUCAAUUGAGAAGCUUUCUAAUCUCCACACUCUGGACAUCAAGCAGACCCAGAUAGAGAAGCUACCUCGAGGCAUUGUUAAAGUCAAGAAGCUACGGCACCUUUUGGCUGACAGAUUUGCUGACGAGAAGCAGUCAGAGUUCAGAUAUUUCAUCGGAGUGGAAGCUCCUAAAGGGCUGUCAAGCAUGGAAGAACUACAGACUCUUGAGACUGUGCAAGCAAGCAAAGACCUGGCUGACCAGCUGAAGAAACUGAUGCAGCUCCGAAGCAUAUGGAUUGAUAAUGUAAGUGCUGCUGAUUGUGACAACCUUUUUGGAACCCUGUCGACGAUGCCACUUCUUUCCAACCUGCUUAUCUCAGCAAGAGAUGUGAAUGAGACACUUUGCCUCCAAGCCCUUGAUCCGAUUCCAAUCUCCACAAAGCUCCACAGGCUAAUUGUGAGGGGGAAAUGGGCUGCUGGGACACUAAAGUAUCCAAUAUUUCGCAAUCAUGGGGAGCAUCUCAAAUGUUUAGCACUCAGCUGGUGCCAGCUUGGAGAAGAUCCACUGGGGGUGCUUGCUCCACAUGUGCCAAACCUCACCUAUUUAAGUCUUAACCGGGUGAAUAGUGCAAGCACUUUAGUUCUUUCUGCAGGAUGCUUUCCUCAGCUGACGACGCUCGUCUUGAAGCGAAUGCCAGAUGUCAAUCAGCUGGAGAUCGGAGAUGGUGCUCUGCCAUGCAUUGAUGGUCUUUACAUCGUGUCACUAGUGCAGCUGGAUAAGGUUCCUCAAGGCAUCGAAUCUCUCGUCUCUCUAAAAAGGCUCUAGAUGCUGAACCUGCACAAGGAGUUUAUUACACAGUGGAAAGCAAGUGGGAUGCACCACAAGAUGGAACAUGUCCCCGAGAUUCGUGUCUAGGACAACCAGAUGGUUAUAUCUCCAUUGGUAUGCCUGUAUGAUGUGUUUGUUCAGAACUACGUUUGUUGUGUUUUUAUUCUCUUUCAAUCUGAGAAGUCGUGGACUAUUGCUACUGUUAUGUUAAUACCUGGAUUGUACUUGAAGGCUAUAACACAGGUAGUCGCGAAACGUUAUUGGUUUUACAGGCUUCACUAGGCCCAUGGAUGUGCCGUGUUGGUUCAAUUGCUUUAAGAAUAAUGAUUUCCUU